GCCUGACUGGCUCAGUAGGUAGAGGAUGCAACUCUUAAUCUCAGGGUUGUGAGUUCAAGGCCCACGUUGGGCG
rnacentral:tRNA from 1 species